rfam:Oryza brachyantha chromosome 4, whole genome shotgun sequence.
AGCUGCGCAGUGGGCACAUAGCGAACUAUUCUUUCGCCUUUUACUAAAGAAUACCGUGUGCUCGCUGCAAAUAGCAGCAUACUCAAAUUUUUUGAGGGAAUCUUCUGUAUAUAAGGAGAAU